rnacentral:rRNA from 1 species
UGCAAGUCGAACGCUGAAGCUUGGUGCUUGCACUGGGUGGAUGAGUGGCGAACGGGUGAGUAAUACGUGAGUAACCUGCCCUUGACUCUGGGAUAAGCCUGGGAAACUGGGUCUAAUACUGGAUACGACAUGUCACCGCAUGGUGGUGUGUGGAAAGGGUUUUACUGGUUUUGGAUGGGCUCACGGCCUAUCAGCUUGUUGGUGGGGUAAUGGCUCACCAAGGCGACGACGGGUAGCCGGCCUGAGAGGGUGACCGGCCACACUGGGACUGAGACACGGCCCAGACUCCUACGGGAGGCAGCAGUGGGGAAUAUUGCACAAUGGGCGGAAGCCUGAUGCAGCGACGCCGCGUGAGGGAUGACGGCCUUCGGGUUGUAAACCUCUUUCAGCACGGAAGAAGCGAAAGUGACGGUACGUGCAGAAGAAGCGCCGGCUAACUACGUGCCAGCAGCCGCGGUAAUACGUAGGGCGCAAGCGUUGUCCGGAAUUAUUGGGCGUAAAGAGCUCGUAGGCGGUUUGUCGCGUCUGCUGUGAAAGCCCGGGGCUUAACCCCGGGUGUGCAGUGGGUACGGGCAGACUUGAGUGCAGUAGGGGAGACUGGAAUUCCUGGUGUAGCGGUGAAAUGCGCAGAUAUCAGGAGGAACACCGAUGGCGAAGGCAGGUCUCUGGGCUGUUACUGACGCUGAGGAGCGAAAGCAUGGGGAGCGAACAGGAUUAGAUACCCUGGUAGUCCAUGCCGUAAACGUUGGGCACUAGGUGUGGGGAACAUUCCACGUUUUCCGCGCCGUAGCUAACGCAUUAAGUGCCCCGCCUGGGGAGUACGGCCGCAAGGCUAAAACUCAAAGGAAUUGACGGGGGC